GGAAGGGUGGCCGAGUGGUUAAUGGCAGCAGACUGUAAAUCUGCCCGCGUGAGCGUACACAGGUUCAAAUCCUGUCCCUUCCACCA
rnacentral:tRNA from 4 species